AGAAAGGGGCUCCCAUAGUGCAGCGGCGGGCUGAAGGGCUCCUCAAGGGCCGCCAAAGUGGGAGCCCAGGCAGAGGAGGCGCCGAGAGGGAGCGAGGGCUGUGAGGACUGCCAGCACGCUGUCACCUCUCAAUAACAACAGCUUUCUAAGCUGCGGAUGAGACAACAUGCAGCACAACUUGUAACAGUUUCACCAGCUGACUGUGGAAAGGGCAGCUAUGCGUUCAUUUCUGUCCAGAUCCCUGUAAUUAUUUCAUCCUGGAAUUCACAGCCAGAAAGGAGUUUGCCUGCAGACUGCAAGCUUCUUGCAGGCCGAACUUAGACUUCAUUCUUCAUAACCUUGGCACCAAGCACAGUGCACAGUAUGUGGGAAGUCAGCUGCCAUGUUUUGAGCUGCCCUCUGGAAAGACCCUCGUGGUGAGGAACUGGUGGCUCUGGCCAACAUCCAGCGAGGACCUGAGAUCUGCCAGCUGCCACAUGAGUGAGCUGGGAAGUGGAUCUUUUCCCAGCCUUGAGAUAACUGCAAUUCUGGUCAAUUUGAUCAUUCCUCUGCAGGACACUCAGAGGGGUCAGCUGAGUCACAAAUGGAUUUCUGACCCACAGAAACUGAGGCAAGAGACAGCAGUGGAAUCCAGGAGAAGCACUCAAGGGACAUCAGCUAUACUUGUGAUUUAUUUAUUUUUAUUGAAGAAAAGAUCUGAUCCAAAAUGGAAAAGUGAUGAGACUUG